GGCUGGAUAGCUCAGUCGGUAGAGCAUGAGGCUUGAUCCUAGGGUCAUGGAUUAGAGCCCCACAUUAGCUG